rnacentral:rRNA from 1 species
AAGAAGGUUACUUAACGCAUGGUGUGGAUGCCUUGACUGAAGCAAGCGAUGAAGGACGUAGGAGGCUGCGAUAAGCCCCGGGGAGCUGUCUACCAAGCUUUGAUCCGAGGAUUUCCGAAUGGGGCAACCCUUCCGCCUGAAGGCGGAAAACUGUAUCUGAAUUCAUAGGAUACGGUAGCAAACCCUGAGAACUGAAACAUCUUAGUACCAGGAGGAAAAGAAAUUAAUAAAGAUUCCGUAAGUAGUGGCGAGCGAACGCGGAACAGCCUAAACCACCGAGCUUGCUCGAGUGGGGUUGCAGGGCUUGUGGACUCGAUUGAUCGGGGUCACUGUGCAAUUGCUAGCAAAAUGUUCUGGAAAGAACAACCAUAGGGGGUAAUAGUCCCGUAUGCGAAAGCGAAUGUACACUGAUGCACAAGUACCUAAGUAGGGCGGGGCCGGAGAAACCCCGUUUGAAUCUGGGAGCACUAACUUCCAAGGCUAAACAUUGCUUCAGAUCGAUAGUGAACUAGUACCGUGAGGGAAAGGUGAAAAGCAUCCCGAAAGGGAGGUGAAAUAGAACUGAAACUCCAUGCUAACGAAGAGUCGGAGCCGUACCUCACUUUUGAGCACUACGGGAUAACCGAUGACCAGUAACCAGUGACCAAUCAAAGCAAUACAUUCAAAGACCAAGACUUCAUAGAUUUCACAGAGAUAUAUUUAGAUUUCCUACAAACCGCUGUUCGUACAGCAGAAGGGUAGUUAUGUCAUCAGUCCAAGACUUUGUUGCCAAGGUGUUCGACGGGAAAUCGCAAGUGCCCCUGUCAGAACUCAUCGGAGCUCUCUGCGAAGAGCUCCAGACUGGCAAGGUAGAAGUGAAGUUUCCUCGACAGCCGACGGUUUCUAACAGAGCUGAUCCGGCCAUCCUUGUCGAGUGGAUCGACAAGGAAACCAAGGCUUAAAAAAGCCAAUGGCUUGCUGAUAGCCAUAAUAUCAGCAUCUUUGUGAAGUUUGUGAAAUUUUGGAAUUUGAAGUUUGAAAAUUGAUUGGAAAUUGGAAAUUGGAAAUUGGAAAUUCCGUACUGAGCAGAAGCGAGGUACGGUGACGGCGUGCUUUUUGCAGCACGAUCCAACGAGUUAGUUCUACGCAGCAUGUCUAAGGGAUGACGAAUUCCGGAGACGUAGUGAAAGCGAGCCUGAAUAGGGCGAUUAAGUUGCGUGGACUAGACCCGAAGCCAGACGAGCUACAUAUGAGCAGGGUGAAGCGUCGGUAAAACGACGUGGAGGCCCGCACCCACUAACUGUGCAAUUUUAGGGGAUGACUUGUGUGUAGGGG